ensembl:lncRNA
AGAUGAUGUGGAAGGAAAGUGGAAGUUCCCAGUUCAAAAAGAAUCCUAGGGCAGAUCACAUUCCUCAAAAGAAUUAAGUUAAUAUCUAAUCGACUUCCUAAUUUCUAUAUGUGUUUCUCAAGGUCUUCUCAACACACAACUUCACAUUCAUAGGGUGAGAUGGUAUGACACUCGAGCGUAUUUGAGACAUAAUUCCAUUAACCUCUUGCUGGCUCCUCUGUCCAUGAGAUUUCCCAGGCAAGAAUACUGGAGUGGUUGCCAUUUCCUCCUCCAGGGGAAUCUUCCAGACCCAGGGAUCAAACCCGUGUCUCCUGCCUUGGCAAGCGGAUUCUUUACCUCUGUGCCACCAGGGAAGCCUAAGAUUUGAAGAUUUGGUUUCUCUUUCUCUACCUACACAUUUUCUCUGCAGUUGAAGACUUCAUUUGAAGUUGCAUGCAUCAGUUGCAAGCAUCUUCUCAGAAUAUCCUUUGACAUGAUCACAAUUUUUUAAAAAAAUUAACCAUAAUCCCAUAUUACCUAAUAACCAGUCCAUAUUAAAAC